AGCCCAUGAUGAGGACAUAUCCUAAUCAUUUCUUUGUAUCUUUCCCAUGCUUCGAAAAGAGACUCGUUGUCUUUUUGUUUAAAUCCAUUAAUUUGCGAUCUUAACAU